UUGAAAGGGAAACGAUUGAAGUCAGUCAUGCUGGUGGGAAUCAACUUAGGGGAAACUCUGGGUGCACUUCUUCGCUUGGCAGGUCAACGUCGAUUUUGAAUGUCAUAAAAUAAUUGGGGAAGGUAGCUCCUUCGGGAGUGUUAUAGCCCUUGAUAGAUGUGAUGUUUGAGGUCGAGGAUUGCAACGGAUACCUUUGGGGCUAGCUGCCUGAUCUCUAAUUGGUGUUGGGUUACGGAUAGCAUGCUGACCGUGAUCUAAUUACUGGUUAAAAGGUUAGAGUGUGCAUAAAUUCGUUAAGGAUGUUGACGUA
rnacentral:rRNA from 1 species